rnacentral:rRNA from 1 species
UGAUGGAGCUAUGCCAUGUGAAUGAUGAAGAUCUUUUUGAUUGUAAAGUUCUUUUAUUGGGGAAAAUGAUGAUGGUACCCGAUGAAUAAGUGACAGCAAACUAUGUGCCAGCAGCUGCGGUAAUACAUAGGUCGCUAGCGUUAUUCGGAUUUAUUGGGCGUAAAGCAAGCGCAGGCGGACGAGUAAGUUCUGUGUUAAAAGCAGCAGCUCAACUGUUGUUUGCGCCGAAUACUGCUCGUCUAGAAUACGGUAGAAAGUUUCGGAAUUGAAUAUGGAGCGGUGGAAUGUGUAGAUAUAUUCAAGAACACCAGAGGCGAAGGCGGAAACUUAGGCCGCUAUUGACGCUUAGGCUUGAAAGUGUGGGGAGCAAAUGGGAUUAGAUACCCCAGUAGUCCACACCGUAAACGAUGGAUAUUAGAUGUUGGGACUUGAGUCUCAGCGUUGUAGCUUACGUGUUAAAUAUCCCGCCUGAGUAGUACAUAUGCAAAUAUGAAACUCAAAGGAAUUGACGGGGACCUGAACAAGUGGUGGAACAUGUUGCUUAAUUCGACAAUACACGAAAAACCUUACCAAGAUUUGACAUCCCUUGCUAAACCCUAGAAAUAGGGUGGAAGUUAUCAAGGUGACAGGUGGUGCAUGGCUGUCGUCAGCUCGUGUCAUGAGAUGUUUGGUUAAGUCCCGCAACGAGCGUAACCCUACUCUUUAGUUAGCUUUUUAGAGAGACUGCACAGUAAUGUAGAGGAAGGAUGGGAUCACGUCAAGUCAUCAUGCCCCUUAUAUCUUGGGCCGCAAACGUGUUACAAUGGCGAGUACAGCGUGUCGCAAACCAGCGAUGGUAAGCCAAUCACUAAAAGCUCGUCUCAGUCCGGAU